rnacentral:rRNA from 1 species
GGGUUGUGAGGUUAAGCGACUAAGCGUACACGGUGGAUGCCCUGGCAGUCAGAGGCGAUGAAGGGCGUGCUAAUCUGCGAUAAGCGCCGGUAAGGUGAUAUGAACCGUUAUAACCGGCGAUACCCGAAUGGGGAAACCCAGUGUGAUUCGUCACACUAUCAUUAACUGAAUCCAUAGGUUAAUGAGGCGAACCGGGGGAACUGAAACAUCUAAGUACCCCGAGGAAAAGAAAUCAACCGAGAUUCCCCCAGUAGCGGCGAGCGAACGGGGAGGAGCCCAGAGCCUGAAUCAGCAUGUGUGUUAGUGGAAGCGUCUGGAAAGGCGCGCGAUACAGGGUGACAGCCCCGUACACAAAAGCGCAUGUGCUGUGAGCUCGAUGAGUAGGGCGGGACACGUGGUAUCCUGUCUGAAUAUGGGGGGACCAUCCUCCAAGGCUAAAUACUCCUGACUGACCGAUAGUGAACCAGUACCGUGAGGGAAAGGCGAAAAGAACCCCGGCGAGGGGAGUGAAAAAGAACCUGAAACCGUGUACGUACAAGCAGUGGGAGCACCCACCACUAAGCCAGUGGUGAACUCCACAUACGCAUCCUUUGCUGAGGAUACGGUUAACGGAGCGAAAGCGACGUUCAACCGCAAAACAAGCAGAGGGGGCUUAGUGGUGGGGUGACUGCGUACCUUUUGUAUAAUGGGUCAGCGACUUAUAUUCUGUAGCAAGGUUAACCGUAUAGGGGAGCCGGAGGGAAACCGAGUCUUAAUUGGGCGUUAAGUUGCAGGGUAUAGACCCGAAACCCGGUGAUCUAGCCAUGGGCAGGUUGAAGGUUGGGUAACACUAACUGGAGGACCGAACCGACUAAUGUUGAAAAAUUAGCGGAUGACCUGUGGCUGGGGGUGAAAGGCCAAUCAAACCGGGAGAUAGCUGGUUCUCCCCGAAAGCUAUUUAGGUAGCGCCUCGUGAAUUCAUCUCCGGGGGUAGAGCACUGUUUCGGCUAGGGGGCCAUCCCGGCUUACCAACCCGAUGCAAACUGCGAAUACCGGAGAAUGUUAUCACGGGAGACACACGGCGGGUGCUAACGUCCGUCGUGAAGAGGGAAACAACCCAGACCGCCAGCUAAGGUCCCAAAGUCAUGGUUAAGUGGGAAACGAUGUGGGAAGGCCCAGACAGCCAGGAUGUUGGCUUAGAAGCAGCCAUCAUUUAAAGAAAGCGUAAUAGCUCACUGGUCGAGUCGGCCUGCGCGGAAGAUGUAACGGGGCUAAACCAUGCACCGAAGCUGCGGCAGCGA